CAAUAGCGUAUAUUUAAGUUGUUGCAGUUAAAAAGCUCGUAGUCGGAUUUUGGCUGAGAACGAUCGGUCCGCCGUUAGGUGUGCACUGAUUGGUCUCAGCUUCCUGGUGAGGAGGUGUGCUUCACGGCCACUUAGUCACCGUGGUUACUUUGAAAAAAUUAGAGUGUUCAAAGCGGGCUUACGCUUGAAUAUAUUAGCGUGGAAUAACACCAUAGGACUCCUGUCCUAUUUCGUUGGUCUCGGGACGGGAGUAAUGAUUAAGAGGAACAGUUGGGGGCAUUCGUAUUUCAUUGUCAGAGGUGAAAUUCUUGGAUUUAUGAAAGACGAACUUCUGCGAAAGCAUUUGCCAAGGAUGUUUUCAUUGA
rnacentral:rRNA from 1 species